UGCAGUCGAACGGGCUCUUCGGAGCUAGUGGCAGACGGGUGAGUAACGCGUGGGAACCUACCUAUAAGUACGGAACAACACAGAGAAAUUUGUGCUAAUACCGUAUGUGCCCUUUGGGGUAAAGAUUUAUCGCUUAUAGAUGGGCCCGCGUUAGAUUAGCUAGUUGGUGAGGUAAUGGCUCACCAAGGCGACGAUCUAUAGCUGGUCUGAGAGGAUGAUCAGCCACACUGGGACUGAGACACGGCCCAGACUCCUACGGGAGGCAGCAGUGAGGAAUAUUGGACAAUGGGGGCAACCCUGAUCCAGCCAUGCCGCGUGAGUGAUGACGGCCUUAGGGUUGUAAAGCUCUUUCGCUAGGGAAGAUAAUGACGGUACCUAGUAAAGAAGCCCCGGCUAACUUCGUGCCAGCAGCCGCGGUAAUACGAAGGGGGCUAGCGUUGUUCGGAAUCACUGGGCGUAAAGCGCGCGUAGGCGGACUUUUAAGUCAGGGGUGAAAUCCCGGGGCUCAACCUCGGAACUGCCUUUGAUACUGGAAGUCUUGAGUUCGAGAGAGGUGAGUGGAAUACCGAGUGUAGAGGUGAAAUUCGUAGAUAUUCGGUGGAACACCAGUGGCGAAGGCGGCUCACUG
rnacentral:rRNA from 1 species